CACGAGAGAAGAACUCAGUCUUUUCUAAUUUAUUUUUCUUGAUAAGAAAUUCUCUUCAAGAUCAAUCUCAUGGAUUAAGUAUAUAUAUAGAGAGGACGAAACGCAGCCUAAAUUUUCAUCUGCAAUUCUCCAUUGCCACAAACCCACUCCGGCAGGUGUAUCGGAACUGGCUCACACAGAAGCAGCGCUGGAGGAGUCGAGCAAAAGGGUGGUGGGAGCCCUGUAUGAAGCCUUGAGCACUAGAGACGUUGAAACGGUGCACCAACUCCUGGCACCGGACCUCGAAUGGUGGUUCCAUGGUCCGCCCAACCACCAGCAUUUGAUGCAACUUCUCACCGGCUCAUCAUCCUCCGACGAUCCCUUCCACUUCGACCCCGUCUCCAUAGUGGCGUUCGGAUCAACUGUCCUCGUCGAGGGCUACGAGGAGCGGCGGUCGGUGGCGUGGGUGCACGCGUGGGUGGUGACUGAUGGGAUAAUUACCCAAGUGAGGGAGUACUUCAAUACUUCGGUUACAGUCACGCGACUGAGCAACACAGACAAGGCGGGGGAGGGGCCGUCGACUUCUGCGACGGCGGCUCGGUCAGUUCCUUGUACGUGUGUUUGGCAGAGCAAGGUGUGUGAGAGCAUGGGGAAGUCAGUUCCAGGACUGCUUUUGGCUCUACAGUGAAUCGGAAUUAAUAAAAAAAUGUUGAGGAAAGAGUAGUGGAGAAUAAUAAUGGACCAACCAAACAAAGCAUAAAAAUGGAAGCUUUUGUAAUAAAGAAAUGAAAGCCAAUCUUAAUCUCAAGAUCAUCAAAUGUCCAAGGCCACCUGCAGAAUGUGUGAAACAUGACAAAGCCCAAAAGGCAAUGCAGUGCGGUCCCAUGCCAGCACAACCAUAUUGGAGCUGCCACCCUUCUCAAAUAUAUCACAUUGUAUGUAUUAUAAAUAAAUUAGUUAAUGUUUCUGUUG